CCAAUAGCGUAUAUUAAAGUUGUUGCAGUUAAAAAGCUCGUAGUUGAAUUUCGGAAUCCGUCCAUCGGUCGGGCUUCACUGUCCGUACUGGUGUGGUGGGUUCUUACCUUCUGAAUAACCAGCAUGCCAUUAAUUUGGUGCGUUGGGGAAGCAGGACUAUUACCUUGAAAAAAUUAGAGUGCUCAAAGCAGGCCAGUGCCUGAAUACAUUAGCAUGGAAUAAUAAAAUAGUACGGCAUGGUUCUAUUUUGUUGGUUUCUAGGAUCACCGUAAUGAUUAAUAGGGAUAGUUGGGGGCAUUAGUAUUCAAUUGUCAGAGGUGAAAUUCUUGGAUUUAUUGAAGACUAACUUCUGCGAAAGCAUUUGCCAAGGAUGUUUUCAUUAAUCAAGAACGAAAGUUAGGGGAUCGAAGACGAUCAGAUACCGUCGUAGUCUUAACCAUAAACUAUGCUGACUAGGGAUCGGACGAUGUUAAUUUUUUAAUGACUCGUUCGGCGCCUUACG
rnacentral:rRNA from 1 species